UACGUAGGGGCCUAGCGUUGUCCGGAUUCAUUGGGCGUAAAGAGCGUGUAGGCGGCCGCUUAAGUCCUGCGUGAAAUCUCGGAGCUCAACUCCGAGCGGUCGUGGGAAACUGGGCGGCUGGAGUGCGGGAGAGGAGAGUGGAAUUCCUGGUGUAGCGGUGGAAUGCGCAGAUAUCAGGAAGAACACCCGUGGCGAAGGCGGCCCUCUGGGACGCAACUGACGCUGAGACGCGAAAGCGUGGGGAGCAAACAGG
rnacentral:rRNA from 1 species